UACGAAGGGGGCUAGCGUUGCUCGGAAUCACUGGGCGUAAAGGGUGCGUAGGCGGGUUUUUAAGUCAGGGGUGAAAUCCUGGAGCUCAACUCCAGAACUGCCUUUGAUACUGGCGGACUUGAGUCCGGGAGAGGUGAGUGGAACUGCGAGUGUAGAGGUGAAAUUCGUAGAUAUUCGCAAGAACACCAGUGGCGAAGGCGGCUCACUGGCCCGGUACUGACGCUGAGGUGCGAAAGCGUGGGGAGCAAACAGG
rnacentral:rRNA from 1 species